GACAGAGGAUGCAAGCGUUGUCCGGAAUUAUUGGGCGUAAAGAGCUUGUAGGCGGUUUGUCGCGUCUGCUGUGAAAUUUCGGGGCUCAACCCCGAACUUGCAGUGGGUACGGGCAGACUAGAGUGUGGUAGGGGAGACUGGAAUUCCUGGUGUAGCGGUGAAAUGCGCAGAUAUCAGGAGGAACACCGAUGGCGAAGGCAGGUCUCUGGGCCACUACUGACGCUGAGAAGCGAAAGCAUGGGGAGCGAACAGG
rnacentral:rRNA from 1 species